GGACUGGCCGACUGCGCCCGCCCAGUCUCCGCAGUAUCCCCCCAGCGCGGCCGGUGCCUCAGUCCAGCCCGCCCCCCGGGGCAGUUUUAUCCCCCUGGUCUUUCUGCGGCGGGAGAGGAAUCAGCGGGGUAGAAGGGCUGGUGAUAUAGCCACAGGGGUGUGUAGCUUUGCCAGCGAGAGGUUUCUAGUGCAGACAAGGCUUUCAUUGCCUUUAUACUGGUAUAAGGCCAGGGCCGCACGAGGGGCUUAGCUACCUUACAGAGUUGUAUGGACAACCAUCAGCUUCCGUGGACAAAAGGGUGGAGGUGUACACACUGGAAGGCUCCUCCCGCCCAUGGAACUCCCCGGCUAUGCCGACAUAACAGAACCACCUUCGUCAGAGGGGUAGAGCUUUUGCAGCAAAGUUAUAUUGACAGAGUGUCAGUGGUAGACACUGCACUUAGUUAUGUCCCUGUAAAUGGUCUCUAGGAGGUGUCCAUCCUAACCCCUCUGAACUCCGCUGCCCCGCUCCCAGGAACACAGGCUUCUGCCCCUCCCUCCUUUAAAGGCCCACGAAUUUUUGAAAUUCCACUUUCUGUUUGCUCCCUGUGGACAGCUCACAUCGCAUCUUCCCAGCCAGCCAUACAGCAAAUGCUCUCCCGCUUGGAGCACACCUGAAUUGUUGGAUCUGCUGGCUCUGUGGGGAGAGGAGGCUGUGCAGUCCCAGCUCCACUCCAGUAGGAACUUCGAUACUUAUGGGCAGAUUUCUUAUGGCCGCUUGGAUAAGGGCUACAAACGGGACAUGCAUCAGUGCCAUGAGAAGAUCAAGGAGCAGAGGUAGGCGUACCAGAAGGCAAGGGAGUCAAACUGUUGCUCUGGUGCUGUGCUGAAGACCUGCUGCUUCUAUAAGGAGCUGGACGCCAUCCUCGGCAGCGAUCCCACCUCCACCGCGAAGAGCCCUGUGGAUACUUCGGGAGGGGAGGGGAGAGAGCAGACUCAACCCCAAGGACAAAGUGGUGGACAAGGAGGUUGAGUUGGAGGACAAGAUCGGACAAGCAACAGUCUCAUCUAGUACCAUGGCAAGCCAGGACCUCUUCUCAACCAAGGAGGGUUCAAGCCAGUCCCAGCACUCUGUCUCUGACGUGUAUGUUGCAGAGAGGAAAUGUGGCCUUUGUUAACAAGCAUGUUACCUCUGGAGACACAAAUCCACAGUUUGAGAACUGCAAAACUAAGCAUCUCUGAUGGUAUCUUCUAGACCAGUGGUCUCCAAACUUUUUGGAUCGGGCACCCCCAGGGCCAGCUCUAGGGAAGCAAAAAAAAAAAAAGAAAGAAAGAAGAAGAAGAGCUGCCGCUGGCGUGCCGCCGAAGACGGAGCAGGGAGAGCCGAGCUGCCGCCAGCGUGCCACCAAAGAAUCAAAUCAAACCAUGCCGGCAGCGCUCCUUCAGUGGCGCUCCUCCUGCCACGCACCCCCAGGGUUGGUCUUGCGCACCCCCUACUUUGGAGAUGACUGUUCUAGACUGAGCACUGAGUCCAAUUGAGUAGAUAGAAAGACUAACGUAAAUAAUAAUAGGUUUCAGAGUAACAGCCGUGUUAGUCUGUAUUCGCAAAAAGAAAAGGAGUACUUGUGGCACCUUAGAGACUAACCAAUUUAUUUGAGCAUAAGCUUUCGUGAGCUACAGCUCACUUCAUUGGAUGCAUCCUGUGGAAAGUGUAGAAGAUCUUUUUAUACACACAAAGCAUGAAAAAAUACCUCCCUCCACCCCACUCUCCUGCUGGUAAUAGCUUAUGUAAAGUGAUCACUCUCCUUACAAUGUGUGUGAUAUCCUAGGAGAGUAUGAUAUCAUAAGGAGAGUGAUCACUUUAGAUAAGCUAUUACCAGCAGGAGAGUGGGUUGCAGAUUAUUGUAAUAAACCAUAAAUCCAGGGUCAUUUUUCAGUCCAUGAUUUUUAGUGUCUAGCAAAGUUAUGAAUUUAAGCUCCCAGACUUGUCUGUUGAAAGUAUUGUGCAGAUUUUCUUUGAGGAUGAGGAGUAAUAGGUCAGAUAUAAAGAUGAUGUGGUGGUUUUGUCUUUUAUCAUUAUUCUGUGUGAGUUCAUUCGAGAGUGUAGUGAUUGUCUUGUUUCACCCACAUAGUUGCUACUGGGGCAUUUAGUGCACUGGAUGAGGUACACCACAUGUUAUGAUAGGCAAGUGUAGGACCCAUGGAUUUUGAAAGAUGUGUUGUGGGGGAUGUUGACCAUUGUAGCAGUGGAGAUACAUCUGCAGGUUUUGCAUCUGUUUUUCUGGCUGGGUCUGGUGCUACUUUGAGUUGGUGCAUCCUGGUCAGUGGGCAGCUUGCUUGUGAUGAUGAUGUGAUGUGAUGAGAAGCUGGGGGGGUUGUCUGAAGGCCAAAAGUGGGGGCUUAUGAAAGAUUUAUUUCAGGAUGGUGUCCCAAGUGAGCAUGGGUUGUAGUCUGAUAAUGCCCCAUAUGGAUUCCAGUGUGGAGUGGUAGAUGACGACUAGGGGCGUAUGGUCGGAGCUGGUUUUAUUUCUGUGCCGAAGAAGAUUCUUUGGGGGUAUUUGGGUGGCCCAUUCCAUGGUGCGAUUUACUUCUCUGGUGGAGUAGCCUUGUUUGGUGAAGGUGGUUUUGAGUGUGUUAAGCUGUAUAUCCCAGACCUUCUCCUUGGAGUAUAUUCUAUGGUAUCGUGUGUCCCUGGCUGUAGAGAACAGAUUUCUUGUUGUGUUUGGGGUGAUUACUGGAUCUAAGAAGGUAGGUGUGGUGAUACAUGGAUUUCUUGUAUAUAAAAUUGUCUGUAGGGUUCCAUUAUUGAAGCUGAUCAUGGUGUCCAGGAAGUUGAUGCUGUUGUCGGAAUGUUCUAGAGAGAGUUUAAUAGAUGGGUGGUAGUGGUGGUUGAAGUUGUAGUGGAAAUCUAUGAGGGAGUUUAGGUCAUCUGUCCAGACUAGAGGAUGAAAAUAUCAUUGAUGUAUCUCAAGUAUUCCAUUAGUUUCAUGGUGCAUUUGUCCAGAAAUUCUUUUUCAAGGUGGCCCAUGAAGAGGUUGGCAUACUGAGGAGUCAUCCUAAUACCUAUGGUUGUUGUCUCUCUAAUAUCCUGGGACCACCAUGGGUACAAAACUGCAUAGUUCUUUGUGAAGUUAUUUUAUUUUUGAGUGCACUUACAGAUAACCCUAAGAUUACUAUAAUCAAGUUUCAAUGGGAAAAAUACUUUUUACGGUGUGCUUGCUUUGUGUGUAGUCUUUUCAAUAGUCAGCAUGCCCUGCUUCACAGAAUCAUAAAAAUGUAGGGCAGGAAAGGACAUCAAGAGAUCAAGUCCAUCCCCCAGGGCUGAGGCAGAACCAAGUAUACCUAGACUAUGGCUGACAGGUGUUUGUCUAUCCCAGCGUUUCUCAAAUGUGGCCACCAGAUUUUUCUGUGGCCACAUCAGCCUCCUGGGCAGAAAUGGGGGGGAGGGGCAAAGCAGCAGUCCCUCCCUGCAGUACCCAGCUGUUGCUCCUGGCUGCCUUGUUUGCUGGCACCGCCAGCAGAGGAUCAGUACACUGCACAGUGCACCCUCAUGGGGGCUCUGGGCAGUGCCAUACCAGACACAUGGGGCCAAUGUGUGUGAUCAAUGGGCUUCGAGCUUCAGCACAGGCCAGCAAGGUUUGGGCUUGGAAAAAUUUUCAGAGCUGCCACCAGCAAGGGUUGGUGGCUGCAUUUUGACACAAAAAAUGCAAAAAUGUUCUGAGACCCCAACAUGUUCUUAAACCUUCCAGCAUCAGGAAUUUCACAACCUCCCUUGGAACUCUGGAAGCCUAUUCCAGUACUUUGCUAUUGUGAUAGUUAGAAAGUUUUUCCUAAUAUAUAAACCUAUAUCUCCCUUGUUGCAGAGUAAGCAGAUUACUUCUUGUCCUCCCUUCAGUGGACAUAGAGAACAUCCUCUUACUAACAGCCCUUAAUAUAUUUGAAGACUAGUUUCAGGUCCCACCCACUCUUUUCUCAGAAUUAAACAAACCCGAUUUCUUUUAGCCUUUCUGCAUAGGUCAGGGAGAAAACAUGUUUAACUUUUGAGGUCAACUCAAGUUUUAUAAAGGUCACAAUAUCAUGUACUACAUUAAGUAUCUAUAUUUUCAAUCUGUACAAUGGAGCAAAUUAUGGUAUUUACAUUUUUGCAAAUGUAAAUACUUUCUUAGUUCUGUUGUGUAGAAAAGCUCUUGCCCAAAGCUUUUAGUUUCAAUUAAGCUAUAGUGUAUAGCUUUAGUGUGUAUCCCAGACUUUCUCCUUGGUUCAGAAACAAUAUUUCUCCUAGGUUCAGAAACAAUAUUUUCUUAAUUUGAACUAGUUCAAAGUUGAGAAACCAACUGGAAGCUGAUAAAGCAGAAAAGCUUAUGAAUACAAACCAGGAGGAAAAGGAUGAGACUGAUGAAGGACACAGGGCCAGAUUUUUCGAAGGUAUUUAGGCACCUAAAGAUGCAGACUGAAAACUGUACUAAGGUCAUAUCUGCUUAUUUAAAGAACAGUUGAAAUGACUUCAUGUAUUAAUGACCUCAUUUAUUCAGUUCAUCUCCAUCUUGUAGAAUGGAGUAUUCUGAUUUUGGGGGGUUUUUUGGGUUAUGCAAUAGAAUUUAAGCCUCUCAUUUAUUUAAAAAAAAUCAUAGUUUUCUCCAUUAGCAAGUACUUUCAGGGUGAACUAAUAUAUUUUUCCCUGUUAAAGAUUCUGGCAAACAACAGCUGUAGAAACAAGAGGAUUGUACCCAAGAAAAAAUGAGCCAAUUAAAGAGGGAGAAAGUAGUGCUAAAGCACAUGACUGGAUGCCCAGGAGACUGAUGUUCUGCUACAUUUACUUUUAGGUCUACAUCCUUGUCUUUAUUAAAAAAAAUAAAAAUAGAUCCGCACGCAUCUGUGACCUAGUAGCAGUGGGUGGGAUUCUUCAUGACAGGUCCCAGAGGGGCUUUUUUUUGGUGGGGGGCAGGGGGACAUUUUGUAUGCUCCAAUGAUUCUCUAAUAUGGGGCUUCACAAGGCUCUGCCACUGCUCCUGUUCAACAUAUAUUAUUUGGAUUACAACAACAGCUGGAGGCCCCAACUUUUGUUCAGGGCUCCAUUGUGCUAUGCACACCUACAUAAAGCUGUUAGAGGUGGUUGCAUUGCGGCUGCAGUUUGUUAAAGUCUCCAUUUCAGAUGACGGACAGCACAACUGAGCAAAUGACCCAUGGGCUUGCUGAGAUUGGAUCUUAGAUGAGGGCUAGCAGGCUCGGACUCAAACAGGAUAAAACUGAAGUAAUUCACAGAUUGGAGAAGGCAACUGAGGAAAAUGAGAGAUUAUUUCAGUUGCCUUGAUUGGACAUGUGUGCUUGCUAUAGUAAUCAGGUCUGGAACAUAUUGGGGAUUGUGUUGGAUUCCCAGGUGCUUCUGGCUCUCCAGGUAGCAGUUGCCAAGACUACUUUUUCCUCCUUCAUCUAUUCCUACCUAGCAAGUUAUGACCUUUAUUUUGGGUGUUGAAUUCACUAGCUUUCCUUGCCCAAGUUAGCCAAUCAUUGAAGUGCAGGAAUACGUGAAUUACUUUAUGCCCAAAAGGGGCAUGAAACAGAUUGUGAUUGAGAAAAUUCAGGUCCAUUAGAAAACCACAGUAAAAUUAAAAAAAAAAAAGUCAGUUGGUUUCAGAGUAGUUACCAGCUAAAAAAAUUAUUUAUCAAUAAAUUCUGUGUUGUACCAGUUUGAAACAGCCCAAUUCUUUUGUGGUUUCUGACAUAGCCUGAAAUUAGAAGUAUAACACUGUAUUGUUAAAACAGUAGUGAGACAUCUGUUCCAUCCACAAAAGUAAUUUAAUAUUUGUUAUAUAUAUUAUCUACAAGUUCUCCUUAAAUAUUUAGUAUUUUUACAAGCUAUAUCCAGUGAGUACGUGUAUUACAUAAAGCUGAAAGAUAGUGCAACUGUUUACUACAAAAGUACAGAACUGCUUUGUAAUAGUUGUAUGAUUGCACACAAAUCUACACAAGCUCAUCAGUCAUCAAAAUCCCUAAUCGACAGUGCCUGGGCAAAGAGCUAGUGAACAGGGAAGUUUUGCGAGGGACUUCUCCGGGUAAAGGAGGAGUGCUUACAUGACCCUUGGGGUAAGUUUGUUGUCUGUUGUGUGUGUGUUUGUUUGUUGUGGUGUGGUGUGCUUGCUGCUGGACUGAAACAUACCGUGUGGUCUGGACUGUGUGCUGACCGUAUGGGUGCUGAGCCUAGCAGCCUGCUAGGCAAGGCUGAGAGCUUCUUAACAAGGCUUUGGUCCCUUUAGCACCCAUCAACCCUUAACCAGGGGGCGGGGCUACUCAGGAAGACCAGGGCUUUAAAAAGCGACCAGAGCAGGGGUGGCCAACCUGUGGCUCCGGAGCUGCAUAUGGCUCUUCAGAAGUUAAUAUGCGGCUCCUUGCAUAGACACGGGCUCCAGGGCUGGAGCUACAGGUACCAACUUUCCAAUGCUCACUGCUCAACCCCUGCCUCUGUCACUGGCCCUGCCCCCACUUCACCCCUUUCCCCAAGGCCCUGUCCCCGAAGCUUGCUGCACCCUCGCUCUUCUCCUCGCCUCCCAGAUCCUCCUGCAUCCUGCGUGAGGCACAGGGAGGGAGGGGAGGCGCUGAUUGGCAGGGCAGCUGGCAGGGGAGCUGAUGGAGGCUGAUGAGAUAAUACUGUGGCUCUUUGGCAAUAUACAUUGGCAAAUUCUAGCUCCUUCUCAGGCACAGGUUGGCCACCCCUGGCCCCAAGGAUCCAGUGAACAGGAGUGGUUAACAGGGGAGUUUUGCAAGGGAGUUUACAGGGGGAAUGUGGGUUGGGUGGCUACAUACACUUCACAUUCCCUAAACUUCUUUAAACUUAAGCUAAAAAACAUCCCGUGAUAAAAACAAAACAACAACAAAGGAACCAGCUACAGGAGUAAAAAGAGAAUGCAGGCAGAAGUCCAGCAACAAAGUGGGGGCUACCCAGUUUAUUGCACCCAAUGCAGCAUGUAUGAUUACCUGCCCUAUGGGCAGGUGGCGUAUGUGUGCUGUGAUGAAGUGGGAAUAUUUUUAAUGUUUUCUCUGAAUACUGUGUGGGUGCCUCCGUUUCCCCUUGGCAUUUCUUAAGUAUCUAGGGUGUGUGUGAUUGUUGCAGAGCCCUAGAGUGUCAGUGUGAUGCUGUCUGCACAGAGAAUGGCCGACACCCUGUCUCCUGGCAACUGAUGGCCUGGGCCCCUCCUCUGCAAAGGUGCCAACUGAAGGUGCUGGAGAACAAAGAGAUCAGGUGGCCUCCUGGCCUGGGAAAGAGACAAAGGCCAGAGGAGGGGCAGGAGAGUUUCAGUUUGGAGCUGGCUGGGGAAAUGGAGGGAUGCCCAGAGGGGGCUCUGGGCUCCCUGCCCCCCAAGACGGACCUGACUGAGGGGUCCUGUUCUCUGUACCUACAAGCUCUGUUUUAGACCAUGUUCCUGUCGUCUAAUAAACCUUCUGUUUUACUGGU